rnacentral:misc_RNA from 1 species
CCGAGUUUACAACUCCCAAACCCCUGCGAACAUACCACUUGUUGCCUCGGCGGAUCAGCCCGCUCCCGGUAAAACGGGACGGCCCGCCAGAGGACCCCUAAACUCUGUUUCUAUAUGUAACUUCUGAGUAAAACCAUAAAUAAAUCA